rnacentral:lncRNA from 1 species
GGUAAUACGGUGGAUAUGGCAUCUGUGUGGGGUAGGGGCUAAAACUAGGGUAAUCCGAUGUACCUCCCAUCGAAUACCCGGGAUUCUGUGAGAAAGGUGGGUAAUGAGGUGGCUGAACAAAACCCGAGGCCUGAGUGCCUCCUUGGGACUCUCCCAUACCUUCCUCUGACAUACUCAUCCCCAAACUGCCAUCCCUCCUCUGGUCCACAUCCAUGUCAUCUCCCACGUCUUCUGACAUUCCUCCCUGAACUGUUCCUCGUACUGACCUGCUUCUACCCAGAUCCAGAGACCUUCUAGGGUCUCUCAUUGCUCUUUCCCUGUUAGACCUGCUAGACAUUGCCCUAGGCAAUGUUGGAGGAC